UACCCGCGGCCCGAGUGGUGCUCAUUAUUAUUGAGCCUAAAGCGUCCGUAGCUGGCCGGGCAAAUCUCCGGGUAAAUCGGACGGCUCAACCGUCCGAAUACCGGAGACACUGCUCGGCUUGGGAUCGGGAGAGGGAGAAGGUACUCCCUGGGUAGGGGUAAAAUCCUGUAAUCCGGGGGGGACCACCAGUGGCGAAGGCGUUCUCCUAGAACGAGUCCGACAGUGAGGGACGAAGCCCUAGGGCGCAAACGGG
rnacentral:rRNA from 1 species